GAGGAAGCCGGUGCGAAUCCGGCGCGGUCCCGCCACUGUCACCGGGGAGCGCACCCCCAACCGACGGCCACGGCCCACAUGUUCGACGGGCUGGAAGGCCGGGGGACGCAGCGAUCCGGGAGCCAGGAGACUC
rnacentral:ncRNA from 1 species